CCUACGGGAGGCAGCAGUGGGGAAUAUUGGACAAUGGGCGAAAGCCUGAUCCAGCCAUGCCGCGUGUGUGAAGAAGGCCUUCGGGUUGUAAAGCACUUUCAGUGGGGAAGAAAGCCUUGGGGCUAAUACCCUCGAGGAAGGACAUCACCCACAGAAGAAGCUCCGGCUAACUCCGUGCCAGCAGCCGCGGUAAUACGGAGGGUGCGAGCGUUAAUCGGAAUUACUGGGCGUAAAGCGCGCGUAGGCGGUCUGAUAAGCCGGUUGUGAAAGCCCCGGGCUCAACCUGGGAACGGCAUCCGGAACUGUCAGGCUAGAGUGCAGGAGAGGAAGGUAGAAUUCCCGGUGUAGCGGUGAAAUGCGUAGAGAUCGGGAGGAAUACCAGUGGCGAAGGCGGCCUUCUGGACUGACACUGACGCUGAGGUGCGAAAGCGUGGGUAGCAAACAGGAUUAGAUACCCCGGUAGUC
rnacentral:rRNA from 1 species